GCCAUGCAUGUGUAAGUAUAAAUAUUUAACUUUGAAACUGCGAAUGGCUCAUUAUAUCAGUUAUAGUUUAUUUGAUGAAAAGUACUACUUGGAUAACCGUAGUAAUUCUAGAGCUAAUACAUGAUAAAAUCCUCGACUUUGAAGAGGUGUAUUUAUUAGAAUGAAACCAAUAGACUUCGGUCUGUUUGUGAGUAAUAAUAACUAAUCGUAUCGCAUGCUUAGGUAGCGAUAUGUCUUUCAAGUUUCUGCCCUAUCAGCUUUGGAUGGUAGUGUAUUGGACUACCAUGGCAGUAACGGGUAACGAAGAAUUUGGGUUCGAUUUCGGAGAGGGAGCCUGAGAGAUGGCUACCACAUCCAAGGAAGGCAGCAGGCGCGUAAAUUACCCAAUCCUGACAUAGGGAGGUAGUGACAAUAAAUCACAAUGCGGAACUAUUAGUUUUGCAAUUGGAUUGAGAACAAUGUACAAAUGUUAUCGAUAAACAAUUGGAGGGCAAGUCUGGUGCCAGCAGCCGCGG
rnacentral:rRNA from 1 species